rnacentral:rRNA from 1 species
GACGAACGCUGGCGGCGUGCCUAAUACAUGCAAGUAGAACGCUGAAGAGAGGAGCUUCCUCUUCUUGGAUGAGUUGCGAACGGGUGAGUAACGCGUAGGUAACCUGCCUUGUAGCGGGGGAUAACUAUUGGAAACGAUAGCUAAUACCGCAUAACAAUGGAUGACACAUGUCAUUUAUUUGAAAGGGGCAAUUGCUCCACUACAAGAUGGACCUGCGUUGUAUUAGCUAGUAGGUGAGGUAAUGGCUCACCUAGGCGACGAUACAUAGCCGACCUGAGAGGGUGAUCGGCCACACUGGGACUGAGACACGGCCCAGACUCCUACGGGAGGCAGCAGUAGGGAAUCUUCGGCAAUAGGGGCAACCCUGACCGAGCAACGCCGCGUGAGUGAAGAAGGUUUUCGGAUCGUAAAGCUCUGUUGUAAGUCAAGAACGGGUGUGAGAGUGGAAAGUUCACACUGUGACGGUAGCUGACCAGAAAGGGACGGCUAACUACGUG